rnacentral:rRNA from 1 species
AGGGUUUGAUCAUGGCUCAGGAUGAACGCUGGCGGCGUGCUUAACACAUGCAAGUCGAACGAACCUUCGGGUUAGUGGCGGACGGGUGAGUAACGCGUGAGAAUCUGCCCUCAGGAGGGGGAUAACGGUUGGAAACGACCGCUAAUACCCCAUAUGCCUAUUGGUGAAAUGAAUUUCGCCUGAGGAUGAGCUCGCGUCUGAUUAGCUAGUUGGUGAGGUAAUGGCUCACCAAGGCUUCGAUCAGUAGCUGGUCUGAGAGGAUGAUCAGCCACACUGGGACUGAGACACGGCCCAGACUCCUACGGGAGGCAGCAGUGGGGAAUUUUCCGCAAUGGGCGAAAGCCUGACGGAGCAACGCCGCGUGAGGGACGAAGGCCUCUGGGCUGUAAACCUCUUUUCUCAAGGAAGAAGAUAUGACGGUACUUGAGGAAUAAGCCACGGCUAAUUCCGUGCCAGCAGCCGCGGUAAUACGGGAGUGGCAAGCGUUAUCCGGAAUUAUUGGGCGUAAAGCGUCCGCAGGCGGCUUUUCAAGUCUGCUGUUAAAGCGUGGAGCUUAACUCCAUCAUGGCAGUGGAAACUGAAAGGCUUGAGUAUGGUAGGGGCAGAGGGAAUUCCCGGUGUAGCGGUGAAAUGCGUAGAUAUCGGGAAGAACACCAGUGGCGAAGGCGCUCUGCUGGGCCAUUACUGACGCUCAUGGACGAAAGCCAGGGGAGCGAAAGGGAUUAGAUACCCCUGUAGUCCUGGCCGUAAACGAUGAACACUAGGUGUCGGGGGAAUCGACCCCUUCGGUGUCGUAGCUAACGCGUUAAGUGUUCCGCCUGGGGAGUACGCACGCAAGUGUGAACUCAAGGGAUUGACGGGGGCCCGCACAAGCGGUGGAGUAUGUGGUUUAAUUCGAUGCACGCGAGACCUUACCAGGGUUUGACAUCCUGCGAACCUCUUAGAAAUUUGAGGGUGCCUUCGGGAAUGCAGUGACAGGUGGUGCAUGGCUGUCGUCAGCUCGUGUCGUGAGAUGUUGGGUUAAGUCCCGCAACGAGCGCAACCCACGUUUUUAGUUGCCAGCAUUUAGUUGGGCACUCUAGAAAGACCGCCGGUGAUAAACCGGAGGAAGGUGUGGAUGACGUCAAGUCAUCAUGCCCCUUACACCCUGGGCUACACACGUACUACAAUGCUACGGACAAAGGGCAGCAAACUCGCGAGAGCUAGCAAAUCCCAUAAACCGUGGCUCAGUUCAGAUCGUAGGCUGCAACUCGCCUACGUGAAGUAGGAAUCGCUAGUAAUCGCAGGUCAGCAUACUGCGGUGAAUACGUUCCCGGGCCUUGUACACACCGCCCGUCACACCAUGGAAGUUGGCCAUGCCCGAAGUCGUUACUCCAACCCUUGUGGAGGAGGACGCCGAAGGUGGGGCUAAUGACUGGGGUGAAGUCGUAACAAGGUAACCGUA